GACGAACGCUGGCGGCGUGCUUAACACAUGCAAGUCGAACGGAAAGGCCCUGCUUUUGUGGGGUGCUCGAGUGGCGAACGGGUGAGUAACACGUGAGUAACCUGCCCUUGACUUUGGGAUAACUUCAGGAAACUGGGGCUAAUACCGGAUAGGAGCUCCUGCUGCAUGGUGGUGGUUGGAAAGUUUCGGCGGUUGGGGAUGGACUCGCGGGUUAUGAGCUUGUUGGGGGGGUAGUGGAUUACCAAGCCUGUGACGGGUAGCCUGCCUGAGAGGGGGACCGGGGACAUUGGGCCUGAGGGAGGGACCAGAAGCGAACGGGAGGCAGCGGUGGAAAAUAUGACGCAGUAGGCGGACGCCUGAUACAACGGCGUCGGGUUCGGAAUGACGGCUUUCGGGGUAUAAACAGCUUUGGACUGAAAUGAACACUGAGUGACGGUAAUGGAUAAGAAAGCACCGGCUAACUACGUG
rnacentral:rRNA from 1 species